UUUGGAUUUGUUUCGGAAGAGGUUGUGUGCCAAGAUUUUGAUCGACUUUGGGAGGGAGCUUUCAGCAAACUUGUUUGAUUGUCUUUUCAGUUCUAGGAAAUGAAAAUUGGGUCUCUUUUCUCGGUGUGUAAGAUUUGGGGAAUCCCGACUCUGGAACAUGCAAAGCUCAAAGCUAGGGUGGAGGUUUUACAGAGAAAUCAAUGGCACCUACCAAUUUUGUUAAAUAAGAAAGUAUUUGUGUUUUACAGAGAAAUCAAUGUCAUUUUAUGGGGAAAGACCUCCAAUCCUUAAGUAUGAAAGAUCUUCAGAAUUUGAAGCAGCAACUUGAUUCUGCUCUGAAGCACAUGAGGUCUAGAAAUGUACAAAAUCAAUGAAUACACCAGAAAGUUUUGUUUGGUGUAGCUAGAUUGAAUCAUGCAUAUAUUAUACAUAUCUAAUAUAUAUUAUAUAAGGUUCUGUUUUGUCAGUUAAGAGCAAAAUUAAUUGGAAUAUGAUUUUUAUGUUUGAUCACAUAUAUACAGAAUCAACUUAUGUACGAAUCCAUUCAGUGCUUCAGAAGAAGGUAAGAAAAGACAUUUAAUUUCUGUAUACAUGUAAUAAAAAUGUGCAUAUAUAUAAUUUCGAAUUUAUGGUGGAUUGGAUUUGUUUUCCAUGACAGGAUAAGGCGUUGCAAAACAAUUUAUGAUCUUUUUAUCUGAUUCAAAGUGGAUAUUGAUCUAAUUCAGUUACAUCUUAAAGUUCAACUUUAAGUGAGUAAGUUUAAGCUUGGAGGUUUGUGCUGGUUUUAGGUGAAAUAGAGAGAAAAAAAAAAUCUUGCUCCUCUCUCUCUAAUUAUUAAUCAUGAUGUAUUUGGUAGCUUCAAUUUUUUUUUUUUUUUUUUUCUGUUUUGCUUUGGUGGAAGCUGUUGUUUUUGCCAAUGCUUUUGUUAGUUCUUUCACUACAGAUUUUUUUUAUUGCAUUAACAAAUCAAUGAAUUGAAAGUGAUUGUGUACUCAGAUUUUUGCUUUAAAAAUCUUGCUCCUUUGUUUUUUUCCCAAGAUCAUUAUUGUUAUGAAGCAGAUACAUGUUUUUAUCUGCUGCUGGUUUUUUAGAUGCAAUCAAAAACCAUGUAUUUAGAAUCAGAUUCAUGCAUUAAGAACCAUAUUUCUCAUAUGGAUAUUGUUUGCUCUCAAUUAGUGAACUAAUCAGUUACGCGUCUUUGCUGGGUUUUUGGUUUUUGGAUAAGAUUUUGUCCUGCUUCUCCCCUAAAAUGAGUUAGAUUCUUCAGGUUGAUGAAUUUCAAAAACAAAUUUGCUCUCUGUUUUCUUAGUAAUCAGGUACUGAUUGUAUAUCAGCUCCCCCCUCACAUCCCUUCCCAGUAUUGUUUAUUGUUGAUAAUCAAUUUUGGCCUUAUAUUUGUCUUCCCUGCUCCCCAGCUUGCGAGUGAAACACUGACAUCAGAUUAUCACAGUAUCCGAUUUUAGUUUAUUGUUGAUAAAAGUCAUGCAAUUGGCAUGGUACACCUAAUUGCUGCGGCUCCAACUUGGCUUAUUGUUUCUAUUUGCUGGUGUUCGUAAGAGGGGUGUUAUUUUGAAAAUAGGCUUCCUUAUUUUGAAAACAGGCUUUCUUAUUCUUUCAACUGCAAAACCUUGGUGAUAUUUUCAUUCAAUAUCUGGCCUGAACCGAAACUUAGCAACUAGCUUUCAUUGUCUAACAAUGGCAUUUAUAAUUUGUACUAACUUACUAAACAAUUGACAUUCAACAUUGAUUGGGAUAUUGGAUUUAAAGUUUCAGGUUAUGAUGCCGGAGCAUAACCACGCCUCAAUUUCAAGUGACAGCCCCUCAAAUGAGAAAGAUGUAGCAGACUAUGAAGAAAUCAACUGAAGACAAAUCAGAGGAGUUAUAUUUGUUGAGAAGUUGAAACAUUGAAUCACAUCUAUACACUGUGAAAACGAAGAAAGACAUCUUGAGUAUGAAAUUUUGUAACCGCCCAGUGCCCCUCUGGUAGAGAGCCGAGAGAAAAAAGAAAAAGAAAAAAAGAUUGAGCAGUAUAUAGCCAAGAAACCUGAGCAAGGAAAUGAUAGUAAACUUGAAAAUGUUACACACACACACACACACACACAUAUAUAUAUAUUCAUGUUGACUUGACGUUUCAUUAAAUGUGCAAUGCUCAAGCAAGCAUUUAGAUUUA